rnacentral:lncRNA from 1 species
AUUAUCUUGUUGAUAAAAAUAAAGGGAUUUUUGAAACCCUGUACAUUGUGCUUCUAUUUUUAUUUUUAAGAAAUUUAUGUUAUUAAAUUAAGGAAUCAAAUCGUAAUUAAGAAAUGUAGAAUGCAAAAAUUAAUUAUAGUGAGUAAAGUUUUUAUUUUAGAGAUAAUGAUUCAUUAUUAAAAAUUAUAUAGUGAGGCUGUGAGAUUAUUUGAGAAACUUAAGUGAGGUUUAGUGAGUAAAUAUACUAUUUCAAAAUUUGAUAGGAGGUGUAAAAAACAUAGGAUGUCUAGUGAACAAAUUUAGAGAUCUCAAUUGUCACAUCCCGACCCUUAUAUUUUUAUCUUAUUUACUAACGUGAUUAUAAUAAGAAUUUUACCGUCUCGAUCAUUGAGUAAAUAGUUUAAUUGGUCCCUAGAGGGGUUUCGGGGACGAUUAUGUGCGGAGGAUUAUUCGUUUGAGGAAAAUACGACGAGGGUAAAAAUGGUAAAUUUUAGCUAGUAAAAGGUAAUUUUUAUUCGGGUAUUAUUUUUCGGGGUGUUUUUAUUUUGGAAGAUUGGGUUAUAAGUGGUGUGGACCGGUUUGGGCCAAGCCCACACAUUUCUCUCCCCUCACUUUUCUCUUUUCCUCCCGAUUCUCUCUCCUCCCACCCGAUUUUCUUCUCCCUCCGCCCGGAAACUUCACCACCGCCGUCCGCCGCCGUCCGGCCACCACCGACCGCCAGACUGGUCCCGUUCGGACCCUUGCCUCUUCCUCUCUCAUCCUGGACCAGUGCACGCGUGCGGAACGCCGCCGUGAAGGAGCGGUCAACCCCGAAAGGUUCGACUGCCGGAAUGGGUUUUUCGCCGGAGCUCCGUCUUCCGGCCACCAUAGGUCGUGAUUUUUGGCUCAACUUGUAGCCCUCAUCUAGGUGAGUAAUCCCUCAAAAGGUUUCGGCUAAAUUCGAUUUCGUUAGGGUGGUUUGUAUAAUUGAAAGUUUUAGGGACUAGUCUUAAGUUUUGGAUUAGACUAUUGGCUAAGGCUAAAGAUAGCUGAUAAUCUGGAAGUAGUUGAGAUUAUUAACUUACGGUUUGGGUUAAUUUUCUAAUUAAAGGACUCAAGUAUGUGCCUAUGGACGUAAAGGCUCGCCGUAGGAAGUUGACGGACAUUUGACUUGGGAAGCCUCCGCUUGGCAAUUAAAUAAUCAAAUCACUGUGAGUGGACGUUUGUUUUUAAAUUAAAUGCAUGUGAUAGCCUCAUAUUUAAUGAUAGUUGAUUUUUAUAUUAUUGAUUCUUAAUUAGUGGAAUAAUUUCCUUUUACGAUUGAUUUCUGCGAAGUAUUUUCGGAAGUAAUUAUUCAUAUUUUGUUUGUUAACUUCGCUAUUUGAAAAGUACCGAAGAUGGGAUCUUUCGGUAGAGCCAUACUUUCAUAGCCUCUUUUGUAAUUGACAAUUUUUAUUAUUUUGGAGAGUUACCGAAAAUGAGAUUUUCGAUGAAUGUGUAUAUGGAUAGUUAUGAGGAGAGUAUGUAUAUAAAUGCUAGCUAGCCAUAUGUGUCUGUCCACUUUAAUGGCGUAGCAUAUAGCCGCAUUAUGGUGUGACGUGAGCGUUGGACGCGAGCGUAGUAGCCCUAUAUGAGUAUCUAAUUCAUAUAGGGGGUAUGGGCACAUAUUUAUACACCCGUCUGUCCACCUUAAUGGCGUAGUGUAGCACCGCAUUAAGGCGUGACAUGAGCGUUGGACGCAAGCGUAGUAGCCUUGUAUGAACUUCUAUUUUUCUUAUAUUUUCAUAAGAAUUCAUACAAGGAGUAUGGACGAGUGUAGAUACAUACAUAUAUAUUUGUAAUUUAGCCUGAGAGGCUGUAUUUUAUUAAGUCUUAGAGACUAGCCGGAGCUAGUUGCGUUUCUGUCAGUUUAUGAGUUGAGCGCUUUUGAGCUGCCGCAUGCAGUAUUUUUUCUAUGAAAUUAAAAUGGGAAUGCAUAAAUAUUUAUAACUCUAGUCCAUUUCUCCCCUAAUAGAGUUGCUCUGAACAAAUGAAUUGUUUGUUGUGGGAUUUUAUUUAGUUUAAAUAAUUGGGAGAUGUUGUGAUUUGGGGGAGCAUGAAGGCUCCAGGAGUUUAAGGUUGGAUUUGGUUUAUCAGAAGUGUAUGCAGGUUUUUCGUAGGAAGGGUUGUCCAUUUUCAAAGGAGAUUAUGCCGAAUUUUCGGUAAAUUUUCCUUGGAGGUGGUCCCCGCAGGAUUUACUUCGGGUUUCAGGGUGAAAUUCGGGGUGAGUCCUGACAUCAAUAGCCGCAUUACCUAAAUUAACGUCACUAAGGAUAAUAAUCAACUCAAUAUUUAUAAGCCACUUGAAAUAUGUCGAUCACAUUCAAAAUAGUUGAUGUAUAUAUUGCUUUCAGAUUUAAGGCGAUUUUUAUUAAUCAUCUUAUUGUUACUGUAUUCUUCUUAAAACUCUCAUUCAUGACUGUGUCGUGUCAUAAGAUCUAAGCCUCUAAGGUCUACUAUUGCAAGAUUACAUGCAUUGUUCCUACCCUUCAUUAUACAGAUCCAUAUGAACUCAUGAGUUGAUUAGUGCACAUAAAUCGACGAAAUAAAAUUAUUAGUGUUUGAACGCUCUUGAUAAAAUGAGCUCAUCAUCUUACCUUUUUUUUUUGUUAUGUUUUGAGGUAGUUGAAGAUCGAAAUUAACUGUACAUUUUUGUUUAAGCAUUUUUUAGAAUCUGUGUUUUUGUUUUUUGUACGUUUUAUAUAUGAUUGGUUUUUAGUCCAAGCUCCUUCCACGCAAUCCUGAGUCGGACAGAAUCACUUUUGCCUUAUUCUAUUUAAGUGAUGCUGUCAUCAUCUUCUUCCUUGGUCAUCCAUUGUCCAAAAGGAAAGAGCUAGCAAGCAAAAGUGUGUGCUUACUCAGUUUCCAACUUUCUGGUUUUUU